UAAUACAUGCAAGUCGAGGGGUAACAUGGGUAGCAAUACCUGAUGACGACCGGCAAACGGGUGCGGAACACGUACGCAACCUUCCCAAAACUGGUGAAUAGCCCUCCGAAAGGAGGAUUAAUACACCGUAACAUAAUGAAGUGGCAUCACUUUAUUAUUAUAGUUCCGACGGUUUUGGAUGGGCGUGCGCAUGAUUAGAUAGUUGGCGGGGUAACGGCCCACCAAGUCUACGAUCAUUAACUGGUGUGAGAGCACGACCAGUCACACGGGCACUGAGACACGGGCCCGACUCCUACGGGAGGCAGCAGUAAGGAAUAUUGGUCAAUGGACGCAAGUCUGAACCAGCCAUGCCGCGUGAAGGAUGAAGGCCCUCUGGGUUGUAAACUUCUUUUAUCUGGGACGAAAAAAGAGUAUUCUUACUCACUUGACGGUACCAGAGGAAUAAGCACCGGCUAACUCCGUGCCAGCAGCCGCGGUAAUACGGAGGGUGCAAGCGUUAUCCGGAUUCACUGGGUUUAAAGGGUGCGUAGGUGGAUAUUUAAGUCAGUGGUGAAAUCUCCGAGCUUAACUCGGAAACUGCCAUUGAUACUAUUUAUCUUGAAUGCCCUGGAGGUAAGCGGAAUAUGUCAUGUAGCGGUGAAAUGCUUAGAUAUGACAUAGAACACCAAUUGCGAAGGCAGCUUACUACGGGGUGAUUGACACUGAGGCACGAAAGCGUGGGGAUCAAACAGGAUUAGAUACCCUGGUAGUCCACGCCGUAAACGAUGGAAGCCAGCCGUUGGCCAGCAUGCUGGUCGGUGGCGCAGCUAACGCAUUAAGCUUCCCGCCUGGGGAGUACGGUCGCAAGAUUAAAACUCAAAGGAAUUGACGGGGACCCGCACAAGCGGUGGAUGAUGUGGUUUAAUUCGAUGCAACGCGAAAAACCUUACCCACCUUUGACAUGUACGGAACUUGCCAGAGAUGGCUUGGUGCUCGAAAGAGAGCCGUAACACAGGUGCUGCAUGGCUGUCGUCAGCUCGUGUCGUGAGAUGUUGGGUUAAGUCCCGCAACGAGCGCAACCCUUGUCAUUAGUUGCUACAUUUAGUUGGGCACUCUAAUGAGACUGCCGGUGACAAACCGGAGGAAGGUGGGGAUGACGUCAAGUCCUCAUGGCCCUUAUAGGUGGGGCUACACACGUCAUACAAUGGCUGGUACAAAGGGUUGCCAACCCGCGAGGGGGAGCUAAUCCCACAAAGCCAGUCGUAGUCCGGAUCGCAGUCUGCAACUCGACUGCGUGAAGUCGGAAUCGCUAGUAAUCGUGGAUCAGAAUGUCACGGUGAAUACGUUCCCGGGUCUUGUACACACCGCCCGUCACACCAUGGGAGCGGGUUCUGCCAGAAGUAGUUAGCCUAACCGCAAGGAGGG
rnacentral:rRNA from 1 species